CGGUGUUUAACUGGCGUGAUGUGGGACGUCCUACCGGUGGGCUUAGCCUCGCGAGGGGCGGCCCAACUAAUAUCCCGUCGCGGUGCUCUUUACUGAGUGUCGAGUCGGGCCGGUACGUUUACUUUGAACAAAUUAGAGUGCUUAAAGCAGGCUAUCCUCGCCUGAAUACUGCGUGCAUGGAAUAAUGGAAUAGGACCCCGGUUCUAUUUUGUUGGUUUUCGGAACCCCGAGGUAAUGAUUAAUAGGGACAGAUGGGGGCAUUCGUAUUGCGACGUUAGAGGUGAAAUUCUUGGAUCGUCGCAAGACGGACAGAAGCGAAAGCAUUUGCCAAAAAUGUUUUCAUUAAUCAAGAACGAAAGUUAGAGGUUCGAAGGCGAUCAGAUACCGCCCUAGUUCUAACCAUAAACGAUGCCAGCUAGCGAUCCGCCGAAGUUCCUCCGAUGACUCGGCGGGCAGCUUCCGGGAAACCAAAGCUUUUGGGUUCCGGGGGAAGUAUGGUUGCAAAGCUGAAACUUAAAGGAAUUGACGGAAGGGCACCACCAGGAGUGGAGCCUGCGGCUUAAUUUGACUCAACACGGGAAACCUCACCAGGCCCAGACACCGGAAGGAUUGACAGAUUGAUAGCUCUUUCUUGAUUCGGUGGGUGGUGGUGCAUGGGCCGUUCUUAGUUGGUGGAGCGAUUUGUCUGGUUAAUUCCGAUAACGAACGAGACUCUAGCCUGCUAAAUAGGCGUACCUUAUGGUAUCGCGAAGGCCCCCGGCUUCGGCCGGUGGGUUUUUACUGCCAACGUACAAACAAAUCUUCUUAGAGGGACAGGCGG
rnacentral:rRNA from 1 species